UACGGAGGGUGCAAGCGUUAUCCGGAUUCACUGGGUUUAAAGGGUGCGUAGGUGGGCUGGUAAGUCCGUGGUGAAAUCUCCGAGCUUAACUCGGAAACUGCCGUGGAUACUAUUAGUCUUGAAUACUGUGGAGGUAAGCGGAAUAUGUCAUGUAGCGGUGAAAUGCUUAGAUAUGACAUAGAACACCGAUAGCGAAGGCAGCUUGCUACACAGUCAUUGACACUGAGGCACGAAAGCGUGGGGAUCAAACAGG
rnacentral:rRNA from 1 species